rnacentral:rRNA from 1 species
GCACCCGCGGUAAUUCCAGCACCAAUAGCGUAUAUUAAUGCUGCUGCUGUUAAAAAGCUCGUAGUUGGAUCAAGAGUUCGACAGUGCAAGGUGGCCUCACCUGUGUCGGUCGGCCCUGCUGAUCGUCACGGUGGCGGAUCAACCCCUUGCGCCAAACUGUCGUCUCUAACUGACCGAAACGGUUCCCUGUGAGUAGGCCACUUUAUUGCGGCUGAAAGCGUCGACGCAUCCACCAUAUGCAUACGGGACGUCGGUCACUGUUACUGUGAACAAACCAGCGUGUCCAAAACAGUCUUUCGACUGAAUCGUUCUAGCAUGGAAUAACAAGGGAUCGAUUCUCUCGGUUCUUUUUGUUGGUUUUUAACCCGAGAAGGAGUAAUUCAGGCCACGGUGUCUGGGCUGGGUUCCCCUUCACUUCGGUGGAGGCCCCAGUUAGGCCGUGUCCUUACGGGAUAAAUAGGGACUGACGGGGUCGUACGUACUUCCACGUCAGAGGUGAAAUUCUUAGAUCGUGGGAAGACGAACUUCUGCGAAAGCAUUCGACAAGAAUGUCUUCAUUAAUCAAGAACGAGAGUGUGGGGAUCGAAGAUGAUCAGAUACCGUCGUAGUCCACUACUGUAAACAAUGCCGUCUCAGGAUUGAGAAGUGAACAUAAUGACUUUCACAGCACUAACCCCUGAAACGAGAAAUCAAAGAUUAUGGGUUCAGGGGGGAGUACAUUCGCAAGGCUGAAACUUAAAGGAAUUGACGGAAUGACACCACAAGGCGUGGAGUAUGCGGCUUAAUUUGACUCAACACGGGGAAUUUUACUAGGUCAGGACAAUGUAAGGAUUGACAGAUUGAGAGCUCUUUCUCGAUCCAUUGUGUGGUGGUGCAUGGCCGCUCCUGGUUGGUGGAGUGAUUUGUCUGGUUGAUUCCGUUAACGAACGAGAUCUCGACCCUUAAAUAGGUGCCCGUGUCGAUCGUAGAUUUGUCUCCGCUCGCUUGCGAGAUUGGAGCAGGUCGAGACUGCGGGAAUACUUCUUAAGGGGACUGUGUGCGUCUCUAGCACGCGGAAGAGCGAGCCAAUAGCAGGUCUGUGAUGCUCCUAAAUGUCCUAGGCUGCACGCGCACUACACUGAUGCAAUAAACGAGUCUGAGUGCCUUCUGGCAACCUACCUGGAAGCGGGUGGGAAAUCUUUUGAACUUGCAUCGUGAUGAG